UUGUCUGCUGUUCUUUCUGCUGAGCGGAAAGGGAGAGGGCUUGAAGAUUGAUUUUAGUUCCCUGUAACUGGAGGUGACAUGUGAAAGCUCAAAGCUAUUGAAAAGGCUCCAACUCACCACACCAAUGUGCUUGAUCAGAUGAGAAUGACUGGAGUAGAGGGCUCUGGAAAUCCUGAAUGCCUUGUCUUAUAAAAAGCAGGAAUCACAGUCAAGUGAGAAAACAGUUUUACUGGAGGGUGAGAGCUGAAUGUAGGCUCCAACAGGAAGUUGGCAUUGAAACCUGGUUGCUUGUUACUACUCAUGCCAUCUACAAAAGGAAAUUAUAUAAAAAGCAAUAAAGAACCCCUUCUGUUCUUGCAGAAGUCAGUGUUUCAUAACUCUUUCUGUGAUAUCGUCUAUAUAAGUUGAACCUCUAUAGUAAGUUUUUGUUUUUUUCUUUUUUGUUUGUUUUGUUUGGGUGUUUUGACUUAAGAAAAAGCUUGCCUUUUUGAUUAUUAUCACCACAUGCUGGAUGGUUAGGGGUCGCUUGGUCAUUAAUAAAAUUCAGUCACAUCUGUCCUUAAUUGGAAUGAACACAUGGUUGUUCUUAUAAAUUUCAAAUACAUUUAAGAGAAAUGAAUAAGAAAUCUACUUCAAGUAUCCAUAUUAGUUCUUCAAGGUGCCCUGGGAAAAAUAUUGUUAUUGUAAAGUUCCUUUACAGAAUGGCUUAAAGAGCUUUUAGUUGCUUCACAUUUAGCCUGGAGUAGACUUUUGCUCAAAGCUAGAUUUGCAUUUAUGUCAUAAAUUAGAAAUUUGCAUUUAUGUCAUUGGGUUUAGGAGCCUUAUCUGAGUUGCCACAACCUUACUCAUUACCCUCAAGAAGAUGAAAAAUUUAAAGGGGAAGAAAGGAAGCGAAGAAAAUGGAGGAU
rnacentral:lncRNA from 1 species